rnacentral:lncRNA from 12 species
CUAUCUUCAUGCCACACAUCCGUCUAAGUAAAAAAAAAAAAAAAAAAAAAAAAACCACUUUCAUGCAUUGAUAUAAUAAAUGAUGUAAAAAUGGUGCCAUCAGAAUUUCAUGUAAAGAAAGCAUGAAGAAUGACUAUGACAAUUGCUACCGCAAGCCACGACGCGAGCACCCAGGAUGUCCUCAGCUGCCUUGAAGAGGCAGACAAUGAGCUGUCCAUCACUCAAGAAGCUUCUCCUCGUCCAGAGCCGGCACCUCCUUGGUUUGUUUGGUUAGAUGCAUUGUUCAGGGUUGAUUCGAUUGCAGUCCAAACAACGAGCUCCAAAGUAAAGAGCAACAGACUCAAGUCGCUAAGCAUUUGAGCAAGCAGGGCAUUAUCCAUUAGACUGCCUUUCCUAUUUUCAGUAAGAGCUUGAAGGGCCACUCAGGAAGAGAAUAAGUUCUCUUGACACAAUGAAUGAAGUCCAAACCAAACAAAUUCCUCCCUCUGUGAGGCCUAGAGGCUGACACGUUUUCUUUGCUGUGAGCAGAUUGUGAUGGGCCCCUUGGGCUCGGUCCCACAGAAAUAGCUGGUUUCCUUCUCACCUGGCCCAUCUUUUCUGAAAUGGCACGUAGUCCAUUUUUAUAUAUUUACAAACUUUUAUUCCUUUUGCUCUUAAAAACAAACAAGAACAUUAAAAUGCACCACCAGGAGAAAACCUACUUCAGCAUCCCUGAACUUCCAUAUGGGCAUGUAUGAAUAGAGCAGUGUUUUAAGAUGCAUUUUAAGCUUGUCUUGCAGCUCUUCUGUGAAUAUCCAAUAUUCCUCUGCCAUAUUUAUAUAGAGUUUUUUGAACCCUUUAAAAUCAGUUCGUACUGUCAGGAUUGGAAAUGGUUUCCAAAUUUUCACCUGGCAAUCCACACUACAGUCAACGUUCUUACAGGUAAAUCUGUACCAUGUCGUUGUAAUGCUUAAAUUCCCUGAAGUGUAAUUACUCUGUUGGGUUAAAAAACAUUUUACAAAGACUUUUGAAAUAUUUGUCAAUCUGCCCUUCAGAAAAGUUGGUCCAAUUUUCACCCCACCAGCCAUAUAUAUAUUCUUUAUAGUAUUAUAAUAUUUAAACUAUGCGCCAACUGAAGGGGUAAAUGAAAUCUCAGUGUUUAUACCAAUGCCUUUGGUUACUAAUAAAAGACAGCAUCUUUUCA